ACAAUAUCGAAUUGAAAGUAUCGUUGA
rnacentral:piRNA from 1 species